rnacentral:rRNA from 1 species
UACGUAGGGUGCAAGCGUUGUCCGGAAUCACUGGGCGUAAAGCGCACGUAGGCGGACUCUUAAGUCGGUGGUGAAAUCCUGGAGCUCAACUCCAGAACUGCCUUCGAUACUGAGAGUCUCGAGUCCGGGAGAGGUGAGUGGAACUGCGAGUGUAGAGGUGAAAUUCGUAGAUAUUCGCAAGAACACCAGUGGCGAAGGCGGCUCACUGGCCCGGUACUGACGCUGAGGUGCGAAAGCGUGGGGAGCAAACAGG